rnacentral:misc_RNA from 1 species
AAGUCGUAACAAGGUCUCCGUUGGUGAACCAGCGGAGGGAUCAUUACUGAGUAUCUUACUCUCUACCCUUUGUGAACUAUUUCUGUUUUCGAACCCGACGAUACUUCUGAGUGUUCUUAGCGAACUGUCAAAACUUUUAACAACGGAUCUCUUGGCUCCA